rnacentral:rRNA from 1 species
CUACCCACGGGGUUCUAACAGUUGGAUCCUUCGCGGUUCUGGCUAGAGAAGAUGCUCGCGUUCUUCAUACCAAAAUUCUUCUCUACUUAGCGUAUGUACCUAAACCGCGCAGGAGGCCCGGAGUGUAAGAUACGACAAUGUGAUUAUGGUCUUCGUCCAACGACCCCGUUGCCGUAACACAGGCACAAUAGCAAACUAGGACUAUAUGUUCUUACGCAGGGACUAUACGAGACAUUACUGAUCAAGACAACAUACCAAGUUUUGAGAUCUGACGGAUACGUCAUACGUGAACUACACUUACUGGUACUUACAAACUGAACUUU